rnacentral:tmRNA from 1 species
GGGGGCGAACUGGGUUCGACCGGGCGGGCGAAGCGUGAAUUGCGCGUCGAGGUUGAUCGGUGGGCCUCGUUAAAAGCCGAUUAAAAAUUUCAAUUGCCAAUAACAAAAUGGCUUUGGCUGCCUGAGAAUAGGCAACCCCGAAUAUGAUUCUUAGCCGAAGAGAUGAAGUAUUUGGUCGCUAAAUUCGGAUCGUUUGCCGUCGCGUCGAACACGCGGCGAACUAAAUAAAGCUUUCGAAUCGUCCUUGAGAAACCGUCGUCGAUAAGGGUUCAAAGGGAUUAAACUCUAAAGAAUCGACUACACGCGUAGACGUUCUCGUAGAGACGUCGCGGGACGCGGGUUCAAUUCCCGCCGCCUCCACU